rnacentral:rRNA from 1 species
GAUGAACGCUGGCGGCGUGCCUAAUACAUGCAAGUCGAGCGAACAGACGAGGAGCUUGCUCCCCUGACGUUAGCGGCGGACGGGUGAGUAACACGUGGAUAACCUACCUAUAAGACUGGGAUAACUUCGGGAAACCGGAGCUAAUACCGGAGAAUAUAUUGAACCGCAUGGUUCAAUAGUGAAUGACGCCUUUGCUGUCUCUUAUAGAUGGAUCCGCGCCGCAUUAGCUAGUUGGUAAGGUAACGGCUUACCAAGGCAACGAUGCGUAGCCGACCUGAGAGGGUGAUCGGCCACACUGGAACUGAGACACGGUCCAGACUCCUACGGGAGGCAGCAGUAGGGAAUCUUCCGCAAUGGGCGAAAGCCUGACGGAGCAACGCCGCGUGAGUGAUGAAGGUCUUCGGAUUGUAAAACUCUGUUAUUAGGGAAGAACAAAUGUGUAAGUAACUAUGCACGUCUUGACGGUACCUAAUCAGAAAGCCACGGCUAACUACGUG